CUGUGGUCUCUCCCUUUCUCUGAGUUCUCCUACUCUGGUCUCUUCCUUUCUUUGUGGUGUACUACUCUUUUCUCC